rnacentral:rRNA from 1 species
CACAUAUCAAUAAGCGGAGGAAAAGAAACCAACAGGGAUUCCCCUAGUAACGGCGAGUGAAGCGGGAACAGCUCAAAUUUGAAAUCUGGCCCUCGGGUCCGAGUUGUAAUUUGUAGAGGAUGCUUUUGGUGCGGUGCCUUCCGAGUUCCCUGGAACGGGACGCCUUAGAGGGUGAGAGCCCCGUACGGUUGGACGCCUAGCCUCUGUAAAGCUCCUUCGACGAGUCGAGUAGUUUGGGAAUGCUGCUCUAAAUGGGAGGUAUAUUUCUUCUAAAGCUAAAUACUGGCCAGAGACCGAUAGCGCACAAGUAGAGUGAUCGAAAGAUGAAAAGCACUUUGAAAAGAGGGUUAAAUAGCACGUGAAAUUGUUGAAAGGGAAGCGUUUAUCACCAGACUUUUUCUAGGGGGAUCAUCCGGUGUUCUCACCGGUGCACUUCCCCUAGUUGAGGCCAGCAUCGGUUUUCGGAGGGGGAUAAAAGUUUCGGGAAUGUGACUCCCCCGGGAGUGUUAUAGCCCGUUACAUAAUACCCUUCUGGGGACCGAGGUUCGCGCAUCUGCAAGGAUGCUGGCAUAAUGGUGAUCAACGACCCGUCUUGAAACACGGACCAAGGAGUCGAACAUUUAUGCGAGUGUUUGGGUGUCAAACCCUCACGCGUAAUGAAAGUGAACGGAGGUGAGAGCCCUUACGGGUGCAUCAUCGACCGAUCCUGAUGUCUUCGGAUGGAUUUGAGUAAGAGCAUAACUGUUCGGACCCGAAAGAUGGUGAACUAUGCGUGGAUAGGGUGAAGCCAGGAGAAAUCCUGGUGGAGGCUCGCAGCGGUUCUGACGUGCAAAUCGAUCGUCAAAUCUGCGCAUGGGGGCGAAAGACUAAUCGAACCAUCUAGUAGCUGGUUACCGCGAGU